GAUGAAGAACGCAGCGAAAUGCGAUAAGUAAUGUGAAUUGCAGAAUUCAGUGAAUCAUCGAAUCUUUGAACGCACAUUGCGCCCGCCAGUAUUCUGGCGGGCAUGCCUGUUCGAGCGUCAUUUCAACCCUCAGGGCCCUUUUGGACCUGGCGUUGGGGCUCGGCCGCUACCCUGCGGCCGUCCCCGAAAGAUAGUGGCGGUCUCGCUGUAGCCUCCUCUGCGUAGUAGUUACAUCUCGCACUGGAACGCGGCGCGGCCAUGCCGUUAAACACCCCACUUCUCAAGGUUGACCUCGGAUCAGGUAGGAAUACCCGCUGAACUUAAGCAUAUCAAAAGCGGAGGA
rnacentral:misc_RNA from 1 species